AACCAGACGGCCCAAGUUUGCCUAUUUCACCUUCCAUUCUCAUUUGGUUCCGCUCCACGGUGCAGCGAUGAAUCAUACUGCAGUGGGAGACAAGAAAAAGAGGCAGAGCAGUAGAAGCUCAGUAUUAUCUCAGACCACAGUUCACUCACUCCCUGGAGCACGACAUCCUUUGCGUCAUCUUCUUCUUCCUCGACCUCUUCGACCUCGUCCGAUGCUCUGUCGUCUGCAAAUCCUGUACCGAAUGAAGAUGGGCUUACUGCUUGGCUGUGUAGGCGAGAAGAUGUUUUCCCGUUGUUUGUUGUUUCAUCUUUGUCUGGCUUCCUUCCAUCUUUCACUCAUCUUUGAACCAGAACGCAGGUCUUGUAAUUCAGAGGAACCGUUGAAGUUAUAUUUGGAGGAUGCUGCCAUGGAACAUCAUAGAUUGGCUUUGCAAGAGGGUGUUAUUCAUAUUGAUCAAUGGAGGGGCCAUUCUGCUGGGAAUGCGAUACUGGAUAGGUCUAAAGUUGCUGCAAGUGUUCUUUGGUUUUCUACAGUCCAUAACACAGCUCAAGCCUUGCCUGUUUCUCCUUCCAGUACAACAUCCUCUGCACCAUCUUUUUCCUUCAUCAACCUUAUCCUGUAUGAUUUGUCGUCUGGAAAUCUGCUACAAGCAGUGGCAAACGGGUCUCAUGUGUGUUUCCAAUACAACAGUUCUACUAAUUCGGGGGAAUCGUUGAAGUUAUAUUUGGACUUUGGAGAAGCUUUCAGUGGAACUUCAUGGAUUAGCUUUGCAAGAGGGUGUUAUUGAUAUUUGUUAAUGGACAGGCUAUUCUGCUGUGUAAUGUCCUUGUCCAAAUUCAAUUAUCAAGUGAACAAUAAUGUUAAACACGAAAUCUUUAUCAAAUUGGUUGUUAGUUGUUCGAAAAAAAAUUUCGUAGAUCGUAUUCUACUUUCAGGGCUCAUUAAAGUUUAUGCUUUGUAUUCUAUUUUCACACCCCAUGAUUUUAAGCAGAUUUAAAGUUACAUAUCCACGAUAAUCAGUUUGUGGUGAUGAUAUUAUUUUUAUCUUAACUUGGUUUCUGUUGAGUGGAUCAUUGCCAAAUUAAGAGGGGUUUACUUCUUGCUGGUGUAGGUGAUAAGUUAUUUUCCCACAUACGCAAUCUGCAUGUCAUGUGGAGUAACUCCUAAUCUGCUCAAUACUUAUUUUCCCUCUUGUAACAAAUCUUCCGGUUUAGAAAAAAUGCGUAGAAGAUUUGUAUUCAAAUCCAGAGAGCUCUUCUAUUUGCCUUUGAUUUUGAUUAGACUAUUUCCAGAUGACAAUCAACCCAUUCAUUGGCGGAAUAUAUGCUGUUCAAGGAGUUUUUGAACCAAAAUACAGGUGAAGUUGUUUCCAGCAUUGUUUUGGAAUGCAAAAGAUCAAGUUCUGAAAGCACAAAUGGUGACAUUGGAUGAUCCAAAGGAAGAAGGCUUUCAGAAGAUACCUGCAUUGAUAGCAAUUCCAGAAGUGCUCGAACAUUUUUCACUCUCUUUCUUGGCUGUUUGGAUGAAGAAAGCAGGUACAUCAGAGUGUGGACAUUCAACAAGUAAUUCAGAUCACGCUGUUAAAUAUUAGGAAAUUGAUGUUCAAUGUGGCCUUAACAAUUGUAUGGUUGUUAUUGUUUCGUUCAUAUAAACUGUUAAUAUAUCUUAUGCUUAUUGAUUUUGAAGACCAUUUUCCAUCUUUUUUCAAAAAAAAAAAAAAAAAUUAUUAUGUAUCUUAUAUUUCCAUGUUAAUGUUUAUUGGAAAGUUGAUUAAUUAGAGAUGCUGUGAACUGAGAAUACUAACAGAUUCCUUUUGUUUAUUGA